rnacentral:rRNA from 1 species
GAUUAGUUAGCUGGUGAGGUAACGGCUCACCAAGACGAUGAUCUUUAGGGGGCCUGAGAGGGUGAACCCCCACACUGGUACUGAGACACGGACCAGACUCCUACGGGAGGCAGCAGUGGGGAAUAUUGGACAAUGGGCGCAAGCCUGAUCCAGCCAUACCGCGUGGGUGAAGAAGGCCUUCGGGUUGUAAAGCCCUUUUGUUGGGAAAGAAAUCCAGCUGGCUAAUACCCGGUUGGGAUGACGGUACCCAAAGAAUAAGCACCGGCUAACUUCGUGCCAGCAGCCCGCGGUAAUACGAAAGGUGCAAGCGUUACUCGGGAAUUACUGGGCGUAAAGCGUGCGUAGGUGGUCGUUUAAGUCCCUGUUGAAAGCCCUGGGCUCAACCUGGGAAACUGCAGUGGAUACUGGGCGACUAGAGUGUGGUAGAGGGUAGCGGAAUUCCUGGUGUAGCAGUGAAAUGCGUAGAGAUCAGGAGGAACAUCCAUGGCGAAGGCGGCCAUCUGGACCAACACUGACGCUGAGGCACGAAAGCGUGGGGAGCAAACAGGAUUAGAUACCCUGGUAGUCCACGCCCUAAACGAUGCGAACUGGAUGUUGGGCUCAACUCGGAGCUCAGAGUCGAAGCUAACGCGUUAAGUUCGCCGCCUGGGGAGUACGGUCGCAAGACUGAAACUCAAAGGAGUUGACGGGGGCCCGCACAAGCAGUGGAUUAUGUGGAUUAAUUCGAUGCAACGCGAAAAACCUUACCUGGCCUUGACAUGCCACUAACGAAGCAGAGAUGCAUUAGGUGCCCGAAAGGGAAAGUGGACACAGGUGCUGCAUGGCUGUCGUCAGCUCGUGUCGAGAGAUGUUGGGUUAAGUCCCGCACCGAGCGCAACCCUUGCCAAUAAUUGCCAUCAUUUAGUUGGGCACUUUAUGGGACUGCCGGUGACAACCGGAGGAAGGUGGGGAUGACGUCAAGUCCUCAUGGCC